rnacentral:rRNA from 1 species
UACGCAGGGGGCAAGCGUUGUCCGGAUUUAUUGGGCGUAAAGAGCGUGUAGGCGGCCAUACAGGUCAGCUGUGAAAACUCGAGGCUCAACCUCGAGACGUCGGUUGAAACCGUAUGGCUAGAGUCCGGAAGAGGAGAGUGGAAUUCCCGGUGUAGCGGUGAAAUGCGCAGAUAUCGGGAAGAACACCAGUGGCGAAGGCGGCUCUCUGGGACGGUACUGACGCUGAGACGCGAAAGCGUGGGGAGCAAACAGG